rnacentral:rRNA from 1 species
AUGGAGGACCUGCUGGACGCCGAGAUCGGCAAGAACGACUACGACUGGCUUCUUACACCGCCUGGGACGCCCCGUGUUCCUGCUCUGGAGGUUGCUCAGAAAAUACCAUCCUCAAAUAUAUUGCCUAAGCGCACCCUCACUAGAUCUUCCUCAACUACAAGAGCAUCAAGGCUUUCGGUGUCUCAAACAGAGAAUGGACAUUCUGCAGUUCCCACUAGACCAGCAAGAAGUAACUCUGUAACCCGCCCUUCUAUCCAAUCAACUCUCAUGUCAAGCAAUAACAGGACAUCAGUUCUCAGCGCAAGUAUUUCAUCUGUCAGUUCAAGACCUACAACCCCAAGUAGGCGAAGCAGCACCAUUGCUGCGCCAAAACAAUUGGUGCCAGCUUCACGUCCAGUUCCAGCAAGGUCAUCUACUCCUGUUAAACCUCGUCCAUCUACACCAUCCAAAACUCGCCCGUCUACUCCUGUGAAAACUCAUCAAGCAACAUCUAACUCUGCAACUGACGCAGCUGCUGGCAGGACCACAGCCACCCAAAGUUCAAGGCCAUCGACUCCAAAUUCUCGGUCUCGAAUUAUGUUGAAUUCCUCUUCAGGUUCUAUUCCUGCAAUGAGCCGCCCAAGUCCAUCCGUAGGUAUCAUUCCUGCAACGAGCCGCCCAGGCGCUUCCUCAAGUAAUGGUCAUGGGACAAGCCAUCCCACCUCAUUGUCUUCUGGUACAGUUCCUUCAGUCAGUCGCUCCAGCUCACGAUCAUCUACACCUACACGUCAGCCUGCAGUGCGUUCAUCGACCCCAGCUAUGGGCCGUUCGCCUUCUUUUGGACGCACUUCUAGUAGCAAUAGCUUGACGACAUCUAUGAACCGACCUGCAGCUAGUAGUGGCCGAAGUUCAGCACCGUCAUCAGCUCCAUCAUCCCGUCCAAGUUCCCCAGGUGCACGACCCCGAGCUCCAGUGCGGCCACAUGAUACCCCUUCAUCAGCUCCUUCAUCUCGUCCAAGCUCCCCAAGUCCACGACCCCGAGCUCCGGUGCGGCCACUUGAUAUCCCUGAUUUCCCAAAUGAAACACCACCAAACCUAAGGACAAAGCUACCUGAGCGACCACUAUCUGCUGGUAGAUCACGCCCUGGAAUGGCUUCAGGAAUAAGAUCAAACCCACAUGCUGAACAGUUAGCUGCCUCGGCUCCUGCAAAAAAGCUCUCCGUGCCUGCUGCAAGUCGUAAUAAGUUUUCAGAUCCACCAUCAAAGGCGCCUUCUCGCUCCAAUGGACACCAAAAUAGGCAGUCUGAAAGGCCCGUUGUUGACAGUCAAGCUACUAGGACUGCACGGACUGGUGCAGUUGCAGGCGAUAAUGGAUUCGGGAGGACAAUUUCAAAGAAUUCACUUGACAUGGCAAUCAAGCACAUGGACAUUCGGCAGAACUUGGGUGGCAUCCGUGGCGCAUCCCUGUUUCCCCACAGCAUCCGCUCGAGCGCCGGCAAGGCCCGCCCGGUCCGAAUGUCUGACCCCGGGCAUCCCACCUCGAACGGUGACCACCGGCACUACGCCGACAACGGCAGCACCAACGGGCACUUCUUCUCGGGCGACUCGUACGGGGCCCUGUCGCGCAACGGAGGCAGCUCGACGGACUCGCCGGAUCGGGGAAGCUUCGGGACCAAGGAGACGUCCCUGAGCGAGCUGGACAUCUACGGGAGCUCGCGGUACGAGGCGAUGCUGCUGCGCGGGGAGGACGUGAGGAACACGAGCUGGCUGCACGGCGGGUUCGACGACGACAAGCCCGACCAGAGCCCCCUGUUCGACCACCGGUUCGAGCCGCUCCCGGAGCCCUUCAGCCCCUUCUGA